GCCCUGCUGGCGCAAUGGUAGCGCGCCAGACUUCUAUUACUUGAAAUCUGGAGGUUGCGGUACGUGUGAUUGAACAAACUCUACGCGAGUUGCA